rnacentral:rRNA from 1 species
UACGAAGGGGGCUAGCGUUGCUCGGAAUCACUGGGCGUAAAGCGCACGUAGGCGGAUUGUUAAGUCAGGGGUGAAAGCCUGGAGCUCAACUCCAGAACUGCCUUUGAUACUGGCAAUCUCGAGUCCGGAAGAGGUAAGUGGAACUCCGAGUGUAGAGGUGAAAUUCGUAGAUAUUCGGAAGAACACCAGUGGCGAAGGCGGCUUACUGGUCCGGUACUGACGCUGAGGUGCGAAAGCGUGGGGAGCAAACAGG